CGUGGGUAACCUGCCCAGGAGACUGGGAUAACACCUGGAAACAGAUGCUAAUACCGGAUAACAACACUAGACGCAUGUCUAGAGUUUAAAAGAUGGUUCUGCUAUCACUCUUGGAUGGACCUGCGGUGCAUUAGCUAGUUGGUAAGGUAACGGCUUACCAAGGCAAUGAUGCAUAGCCAGUUGAGAGACUGAUCGGCCACAUUGGGACUGAGACACGGUCCAAACUCCUACGGGAGGCAGCAGGC
rnacentral:rRNA from 1 species